UAAACUUUAAGUUAUUUAAACUAAGAGCCUUCAAAGCUUAAAAAAAGCACUGCUUAAGUUUAA
rnacentral:tRNA from 3 species